CUACGGGAGGCACCAGUGGGGAAUAUUGCACAAUGGGCGCAAGCCUGAUGUAGCCAUGACGCGUGUAUGAAGAAGGCCUUCGGGUUGUACAGUACUUUCAGCUGUUCUUCCUUUCGUCCCGUUAAUACCUUUGCUCAUUGACGUUACCCGCAGACUAGGCACCGGCUAACUCCGUGCCAGCAGCCGCGGUAAUACGGAGGGUGCAAGCGUUAAUCGGAAUUACUGGGCGUAAAGCGCACGCAGGCGGUUUGUUAAGUCAGAUGUGAAAUCCCCGGGCUCAACCUGGGAACUGCAUCUGAUGCUGGCAAGCUUGAGUCUCGUAGAGGGGGGUAGAAUUCCAGGUGUAGCGGUGAAAUGCGUAGAGAUCUGGAGGAAUACCGGUGGCGAAGGCGGCCCCCUGGACGAAGACUGACGCUCAGGUGCGAAAGCGUGGGGAGCAAACAGGAUUAGAUACCCCUGUAGUC
rnacentral:rRNA from 1 species